rnacentral:rRNA from 1 species
CAGUCGAGCGGACUUGAUGGGAGCUUGCUCCUUGCCAAUUUACCGCCGAACGGUUAAUUACCACUUGGCCAACUGGCCUAUUAUUUGGGAUUACUUCCGGAAACCCGGGCUUAUUCCCAAAAAUACCUUUUUGCUCCCGGCUUAAUGGUUAAAGAAGGGUUUACCCUAUCCCUAUAGGAUGGGCCCCCGGCCCAUUACCUAUUUGGUGAGGUAACGGCUCACCAAGGCAACAAUCCUUACCCAACCUGAAAGGGUGAUCGGCCACCCUGGAACUGAAACACGGCCCAAACUCCUACGGAAGGCACCAUUAGGGAAUCUUCCACAAUGGGCAAAAGCCUGAUGGACCAACCCCCCGUGAUUGAAAAAGGUUUUCGAAUCGUAAAACUCUGUUGUAAGGGAAAAACAAUUACAUUAUUAACUGGUUGUACCUUGACGGUACCUUAUUAAAAAGCCACGGCUAACUACUUGCCACCACCCCCGGUAAUACUUAGGUGGCAACCGUUGUCCGGAAUUAUUGGGCUUAAACCCCCCCCAGGUGGUCCUUUAAUUCUAAUGUGAAACCCCACGGUUCAACCGUGAAGGGUCAUUGAAAACUGGGGAACUUGAUUGCAAAAAAGGAAAUUGAAAUUCCAAUUGUACCGUUGAAAUGCUUAAAAAUUUGAAGAAACACCAUUGGCAAAGGCAACUUUCUGGUCUGUAACUGACACUGAGGCCCGAAACCUUGGGAACCAAACAGGAUUAAAUACCCUGGUAUUCCACCCCGUAAACAAUAAUUGCUAAUUGUUAGGGGGUUUCCGCCCCUUAUUGCUGCACCUAACGCAUUAACCACUCCGCCUGGGGAGUACGGUCGCAAAACUGAAACUCAAAGGAAUUGACGGGGGCCCGCACAACCGGUGGAACCAUGUGGUUUAAUUCGAAGCAACCCGAAAAACCUUACCAGGUCUUGACAUCCCAUUGACCGCCAUGGAAACAUGGUUUUCCCUUCGGGGACGUGGUGACAGGUGGUGCAUGGUUGUCGUCAGCUCCUGUCCUGAAAUGUUGGGUUAAGUCCCGCAACGAGCCAACCCUUGUUCUUAGUUGCCAUCAUUUAAUUGGGCACUCUAAGGAAACUGCCGGUGACAACCGGAGGAAAGGUGGGGAUGACGUCAAAUCAUCAUGCCCCUUAGAACUGGGCUACCACGUGCUACAAUGGACGGUACAACGGUUGCCAACCCCCGAGGGGGAGCAAUCCGAAAAACCGUUUCCAUUUCGGAUUUAGGGUGCAAUUCCCCCAUUGAAACCGGAAUCCUUUAAUACCGGAUACCAUUGCCCCGGGGAAACUUUCCCGGG